AACGAACGCUGGCGGCAUGCCUAACACAUGCAAGUCGAACGAUACCUUCGGGUCUAGUGGCGCACGGGUGCGUAACGCGUGGGAACCUGCCCUUAGGUUCGGAAUAACUCCCCGAAAGGGGUGCUAAUACCGGAUAAUGUCUUCGGACCAAAGAUUUAUCGCCUUUGGAUGGGCCCGCGUUGGAUUAGCUAGUUGGUAGGGUAAAAGCCUACCAAGGCGACGAUCCAUAGCUGGUCUGAGAGGAUGAUCAGCCACACUGGGACUGAGACACGGCCCAGACUCCUACGGGAGGCAGCAGUGGGGAAUAUUGGACAAUGGGCGAAAGCCUGAUCCAGCAAUGCCGCGUGAGUGAUGAAGGCCUUAGGGUUGUAAAGCUCUUUUACCCGGGAUGAUAAUGACAGUACCGGGAGAAUAAGCGCCGGCUAACUCCGUG
rnacentral:rRNA from 1 species